ensembl:lncRNA
CAGCCAUUCUCUCUCUGUCCGGAAGGGAAGGUGAGCGAAGAGGUAGUAUCAGCCAUUCUCUCUCUGUCCGGAAGGGAAGGUGAGCGAAGAGGUAGUAUCAGCCAUUCUCUCUCUGUCCGGAAGGGAAGGUGAGCGAAGAGGCGGUAUCAGCCAUUCUCUCUCUGUCCGGAAGGGAAGGCGAGCGAAGAGGUAGUAUCAGCCAUUCUCUCUCUGUCUGGAAGGGAAGGUGAGCGAAGAGGUAGUAUCAGCCAUUCUCUCUCUGUCCGGAAGGGAAGGUGAGUGAAGAGUUAGUAUCAGCCAUUCUCUCUCUGUCCGGAAGGGAAGGUGAGCGAAGAGGUAGUAUCAGCCAUUCUCUCUCUGUCCG